ACUCUGAGUGGUCUUGUUCUCGUUCUGACCUGCAUUUUCAUUGUUUUCGGUGUUGCUCUGAGCAGCAUUUUCAUUCGAAUUGUUGUCCUUUUGAGUAACAUAUGCAGUUGCAUUUUCAUUGUUGUCCGUGUUGCUCUGAUUGUCACUGCUGCAGA